CGAACGGGUGAGUAACGCGCGAGGAACCUGCCUCAAAGAGGGGGACAACAGUUGGAAACGACUGCUAAUACCGCAUAAGCCCACGGCUCGGCAUCGAGCAGAGGGAAAAGGAGCAAUCCGCUUUGAGAUGGCCUCGCGUCCGAUUAGCUAGUUGGUGAGGUAACGGCCCACCAAGGCGACGAUCGGUAGCCGGACUGGGAGGUUGAACGGCCACAUUGGGACUGAGACACGGCCCAG
rnacentral:rRNA from 1 species